UACGUAGGUCCCGAGCGUUGUCCGGACUUAUUGGGCGUAGAGCGAGCGCAGGUGGUUUAUUAAGUCUGGUGUAAAAGGCAGUGGCUCAACCAUUGUAUGCAUUGGAAACUGGUAGACUUGAGUGCAGGAGAGGAGAGUGGAAUUCCAUGUGUAGCGGUGAAAUGCGUAGAUAUAUGGAGGAACACCGGUGGCGAAAGCGGCUCUCUGGCCUGUAACUGACACUGAGGCUCGAAAGCGUGGGGAGCAAACAGG
rnacentral:rRNA from 1 species